rnacentral:rRNA from 1 species
GACGAACGCUGGCGGCGUGCUUAACACAUGCAAGUCGAACGGAAAGGCCCUGCUUUUGUGGGGUGCUCGAGUGGCGAACGGGUGAGUAACACGUGAGUAACCUGCCCUUGACUUUGGGAUAACUUCAGGAAACUGGGGCUAAUACCGGAUAGGAGCUCCUGCUGCAUGGUGGGGGUUGGAAAGUUUCGGCGGUUGGGGAUGGACUCGCGGCUUAUCAGCUUGUUGGUGGGGUAGUGGCUUACCAAGGCUUUGACGGGUAGCCGGCCUGAGAGGGUGACCGGCCACAUGGGGUGUGAGAUGCGGCCCAGCGUCCGAGGGGGGGCAGGAGGGGGGAAUAUGGCACAGGGGGGGGAAGUGUGGGGCGGCAACCCCGCGUGGGGAAGGAGGGCUUUGGGGUUAUAACCCGUUUUCGCCUGUGAAGAAGGGGGAGUGACGUGAAGGGGAAAAGAAGCACCGGCUAACUACGGG